GUACAGAAGCGGUUUGAAAGAAAGAAGCAAAAGAUCGCGCUCUUCAGAUGAAGAGAGCAAUGCCAAGAAUGAAGAUGAUCCGUUAUCAGUUCCUGGGUUUCUAUAUCCUCACGGCAGUGAAUUUUUUAGUUCUGAUAACAUUAGCUACUCUCCAACAUCACAACAUUGUGGGUUUUGAAUGUAGCAGAGGACAAUGCUUCAGAAACAUGAUAAAAUUUUCCUCCAUGGAUGACAUUUCACCAUUGUUUGUUGCAAUUCUGAAGGAAUGAUUAUGAUGUUCUUGAUUA